rnacentral:rRNA from 1 species
AUUGAACGCUGGCGGCAUGCUUUACACAUGCAAGUCGAGCGGCAGCGCGGGGGCAACCCUGGCGGCGAGCGGCGAACGGGUGAGUAAUGCAUCGGAACGUAUCCUCGAGUGGGGGAUAACCCAGCGAAAGUUGGGCUAAUACCGCAUGAGCUCUGAGGAGGAAAGCGGGGGACCUGCGAGGGCCUCGCGCUGGAGGAGCGGCCGAUGUCCGAUUAGCUAGUUGGUGGGGUAAAGGCUUACCAAGGCGACGAUCGGUAGCUGGUCUGAGAGGAUGAUCAGCCCCCCUGGGACUUAAGACAGGGCCCAGACCCCAAGGGGAGCAAGCGUGGGGAAUUUUGGGAAAUUGGGGCAACCCUGAUCCAGCCAUGCCGCGUGAGUGAAGAAGGCCUUCGGGUUGUAAAGCUCUUUCGGACGGAACGAAAUGGGCGGGACUAAUACUCCUGUCUGAUGACGGUACCGUAAGAAGAAGCACCGGCUAACUACGUG